CUGGUCUGACCUGGUCUCUGAGCAGGAUCUGUCAAGGUUUGAAAAAUCAACUCGUCUCCUCAGGAAAUCCUCGUCUUCAUCAUCCUCAUGAUGCCGUCCAUCAGUGUGUCUCAGGUGUUCCUGCUGUCAGCCCUCCUCCACCUCGCCACAUCACUUCCUGUCAGGGAUGAAGCUGAGGUCAGACACCUGAACGCACCUUGGUCUCUGUCAGGGAUGAAUUCUGCAGACACUCCGCUUGAGGCC